CUAAUUCUUGGAAGAGCCAUCAUAUGACAGUUGGUUUGGAAUGUCAUGGACUCAGAGUCAGUUGAGGGCUGAGCAGCUCACCGGUCACUGAGGGUGGUCAACUGGCCAUUGAAAGGCCCUGGGAGAGAAAGCUGACGGGGGCAAGAAACUUGGGGAUCGCCAUGGUUGAACUUCCCUCGUCCUUCCAAAGGGCUUGAUUUGGAGGAAAUCAUCCUAUUUUCUGUCAGAGAUUGAAUACCAAGUCAGGAGGAUGAACUUCUUGGAUGACCUAAUGGAAGACCUUAGCAGUGACAGUGCCAAGGGAAAGGCCCAUCUUUCCCCAAGGCCUCAGGUAAUGCCUGACACUUGUGCAAGAACCCAGGAAAAACCUAUACUUGAAUGGUCAAGUCAGGCCAGCAAAUACUGUGCAAGGAAUAGGCAGUGGAGGAGAGAGGUUGGCUUGUGGAGAACAUCAAGGACUCCAGCAGUGAGGUGGAAGACUCUCCAGAGCACAAGAGGAACAGAAACAUGGAUUUAUAACACGUUCUGGAAGAGAUACGGGGGCUUUGGAAAGGAAACAGGGAGAGCGGAGGAUUCAAGCUUGGCAGAAGGAGUCCCGCCACAUCCAGGCUUUGAGGGAAAUAGGAGAUGA
rnacentral:lncRNA from 1 species